rnacentral:misc_RNA from 1 species
CUACCCUGGAGCCCUGCUCUGUGAUGGGCCCUGUCCUCGCGGACGGGCCUGAAACCCGUGGGCGCCGUCGUCCGGUCCCGAGCGUAGCAAGAGAAAUCCCUCGCUCGGAGCAUCAGGCGGUGGCCGCCCCGAUCCAUUUUUACAA